rnacentral:tRNA from 1 species
UAGAAUAUAGUAUAAGGUAGUACAAAGAGGUUUGGUCUCUUUUGAGUAGAUUCAGGGUCUACUAUUCUAG